GUAAUCCAUGUGUAGGGUCUCUUGCCGUCCUCCGGACGUUCUGGUGACCUUUUUUGUUAGCUGGGACUUCACUUAAAGUCCUUUGAACAUCAUUUUAUUUGACUUUAUGGCUAUAUUUAUUUUAUUUUGAACAAUUGUAAAGGUUGUGUGUGUGUGUGUGUGUGUGUGUGUGUGUGUGUGUGUGUGUGUGUCAGCUGUGGGGUUUUCCCGAUGGCAAUUCUUCCUAAAACAACCAAAUAAACUCAUUCAGUAGAAUUAUAAUUUGAUGUCUAAAAUGUUGUCUUGCAAUACAAGCCCUAACAAUCUUUUUAAAGGCGAGGGAGACCUAAUAUUUUAAUUUGUACUUUUGUUAAUGAAGCACGACUUUUGCUACUCGAUUACACACUUGCGCUUUUCAUCCUGAUCAAACUGGUUAAACUGGUUGCACGACUGACAGACUAGUUGUGCCAGCUACUUGUUUAAGGUUGAAACAAUUGUGUCACCAGUGUGUGUAGUGUACAAGCAAACGCUAAAACAUACAGCUCGAUCUCUUUACAGACCAUGUAGUCUUACACUAAAAAUAACUUCAGUGUUAUAUGUAACAUCACAAGAGGGAAGACGCCGAUUACACGGUGAGGUGUUAAUUGACGGUUUGAGAAAAGAAGAAAUUAAUUGGGCACUGCCUCUAAAAUGAGUCUCAGUGAGGGGAGAGAGAAGGAAGGCACUGCCUCCAAGACAAGUUUAUGCAAGCACAAAGAGACUGGUGCUGAUCAAUACCAGAUGCAAAGAGCAGCAUCUCCAGAACCUAGCUGUGUAUCUUUGAAGAGUGAUGAAUCCAUGAGAUAUUUGAAACCUGCAUUCACUGAUGGACCAGAGACCCCUGAACCAAG